CUCAACCAAAAUACAAAAGUAUGGGAGGCGGGCCCUGACUCUCAACAUGGCCAGACGUGUUCUCUAGGAGCUCCUGCCAUCAACUGCUCUAAAUCAGCUUAAACUGCAUUAAUCCUACUGCAAGCAGCACACAAUCAAGAGCAGAUUGCGUCAAUAUUGAAGCAGACGAAAGGGGUCCUAAAAUAAUAAUUUUGAGCACCCACAGAAACCGGAGACCGGCAGUGCGGCCUAAUCCGCAGGGAGACAAGCAGGGAAGCUGCAAGAGAGACGGCCGCUCUCUCGCGGUCACACCAAGCGACAACCUCAGCAAGGGUCCCCAUUCCCCCCCCUUUGGACUGGGGGUUAUCCCGGUCCCCACCAACCCAGGGCACACAGCACUAUAAGCCCCGGUUGCACCACACAGCUUGGAAGACAAGGCCAGUAGGCCACACAAGAUUGCGCCCGAAUCCAUGUGGCAGAAGCCCGUGCCAAUACAACAUGGCACUAACCCAGUGGAUUACUACCCCAAGAGACUGGACAGUAUCUUCCAGAGGUUCUGGGAGCGUUUGGAGCAACGCAGCAGACAGAAGCAGUCUGGUCCUGUGAAAGUUGUGGAGAGGGACGCGGAACGGGGUAAGAGGAAGCCUCCAUCCUGUAGACCCCACCGAGCGGCUGACACAGUUCCCCCCAAAAAUCCUCCCUGGCCGAAGGCCACCCAGAGAAAGCCUCCAUGGCACCGACCACACCGCCGGAACCCUGACCGUUGCUGGCGAUGGCGGACUACCCACGGCGCCCGAAAGAGGGAAGACACGGCCUCAGACACGAGCCACCGAGUCUGUG